AAAGCAGGGGGAUAAUUGUAUUGAGGUGGGAGAUACAAUUGCAGUAGUGCAGAAUAUAGUCCAAGAAGAAGAUGAGGUCUAUGUGAUAUACAGAAAGUUCAGACACCAAGAAUCAUAUUACACUUAUCCCUGUGAGUCCUCAUGCAUAGGUACAUAUAAGGUUCGAGAGUUGUGUGAUGAUAUCGGCGUUGGUAAACUUGGCUGUAUUAAACGUAAAUGUGUUCUGUAUCCAGAGUCAGAGGGAAAUAGCCUCAUAGCUAUUCCAAUAGCUCAUAUGCAGUAGCAUAGCAAGUUUAUGACUUCUUACGAUUCAUGAGUUGUUUUUUUUUAAUCAUUUAUAUUCUAAUUGAAUUUAUUGUACACAGAAUGGAAAGAGAGGUGGUGCUUUGGGCCGUUGUCCUAUUUCCAAAUGGCGGAACUGCAACAGUUCUUUCCAGCUGGUUCAAUGCAAAGGAAGGUACAUUGUUCUGGCCCCCAAAAAACAUAAAUUAUUCAAAGGCCCUUAAAGAAAACAUGAUGCCCCGUAAAGGAUGGACCACGUAUGAGAAUGUUCGGCUCUUAAAUACUUGUGACUCAUUUGAAAAGGCCAAGCAACAUGAAGAAAAGUAUGUCACUACUGGAUGUCCGACCACUGAUUUGGAAUCAGAGGUGGAAGCAGAUGUACGUCGGAAAAGAAGAACAAGUGCUGCCAGUAUCCAACCAGUACCCCUCUCUACCAACCCCAGAUGCAAGCAGUGCCUCUGGAGGAAACUAUUCUGAGGAUGUUCAGUCAUUUGACCAGCCUAAUAAUGACUUUAGUGGAAACUUCUUGGCAGAGCUAGAGUCAACAGAUCUCUGUAAUGAUGACUUUCCUGGCAAUCACCAUCACCACCCCCAGGGCUAUACAGCUCCAGAAACACCACGGGGAAGAUUCACUGCAAGGGAACCCAGCCAAAUGUUGCAAGACAUUGCUGCCAACCAAAAUACCAAGAUGCUAACGGAGAUACUCAUGGAGGUGAAGCAAAUGUCACGGGACAUUCAGUUCAUCAAGACUGAAAUUGCCAAAUCCGCCAUGAAUAUUCCCGGAGCGGGAUCACAGAGAGAGGAGCCCUUCCCCAUUGUUCUGCCACUCGCCAAUGAGGAGCAGUUUGAUGAGGCUGAAGCUGCACUGAGGGAGGAAUCAGUCCGUCGAAAGAUGAUUACCCGCUUGGCAUUAGUCGGAGGGACCAAUGCCGAAAAUAUGAUCCGGCGAAUGCUAUCCGCUACCAUGGCAAUCAGUGUAGCAUGUAUUUUCAACUGGGCGGGAAAUGGACCGAAGAGGGCCUUCAAGGACACGUUAAUGUAGGACUGCAUGUUUGCGGCUGCUCGUCAAUUUGACCGCAAGUUGACCGAAUUGCAGUACAGGGAUGCCCUGCAGAAGUGGCUGCGUUACGCACCGGAGAGGAGUGGCGGGGUACCAAGAAAAGCCAAAGAUUAAGGACUAUUAAGGACAAAUGUUACUGUAAUGUUCUAAUUAUAGGGUUACUUAUAGGGUUAAUGUUCAUAAUUCCUUAAAAUGUUAAGAUGUUUGUUUAUAAUUGCUUUUGAAUAUUUAUUAAAUAACUUUGAAUAAUGGUCUGUUUUGUUGUUGUUUUUUUGUUCAUAG
ensembl:lncRNA